rnacentral:misc_RNA from 1 species
CCGAGUUUACAACUCCCAAACCCCAUGUGAACCUUACCAUUCUGUUGCUUCGGCGGGAUCGUCCCGGGUGCGGCCGCGAGGUCAGCCCCGGAUCCAGGCGCCCGCCGGAGGACCACAAACUCUUCUGUUUUUUAACGGUUUUAUCUGAGUGGCUAUAAGCAAAAAAAUGAAUCA